rnacentral:rRNA from 1 species
AACGAACGCUGGCGGCAUGCCUAACACAUGCAAGUCGAACGAGACCUUCGGGUCUAGUGGCGCACGGGUGCGUAACGCGUGGGAUCCUGCCCUUAGGUUCGGAAUAACUCCCCGAAAGGGGUGCUAAUAACGGAUAAUGUCUUCGGACCAAAGAUUUAUCGCCUUUGGCUGGGCCCGCGUUGGAUUAGUUAGUUGGUAGGGUAAAAGCCUACCAAGGCGACGAUCCAUAGCUGGUCUGAGAGGAUGACCAGCCACACUGGGACUGAGACACGGCCCAGACUCGGACGGGAGGCAGCAGUGGGGAAUAUUGGACAAUGGGCGAAAGCCUGAUCCAGCAAUGCCGCGUGAGUGAUGAAGGCCUUAGGGUUGUAAAGCUCUUUUAGCCGGGAUGAUAAUGACAGUACCGGGAUAAUAAGCACCGGCUAACUCCGUG